GGGAAUUUUCGUCAAUGGGGGGAACCCUGAACGAGCAAUGCCGCGUGUGUGAAGAAGGUCUUCGGAUCGUAAAGCACUGUUGUAAGUGAAGAAUGCCAUAUAGAGGAAAUGCUAUGUGGGUGACGGUAGCUUACCAGAAAGCCACGGCUAACUACGUGCCAGCAGCCGCGGUAAUACGUAGGUGGCAAGCGUUAUCCGGAAUCAUUGGGCGUAAAGGGUGCAUAGGUGGCACGAUAAGUCUGAAGUAAAAGGCAACAGCUCAACUGUUGUAUGCUUUGGAAACUGUCGAGCUAGAGUGCAGAAGAGGGCGAUGGAAUUCCAUGUGUAGCGGUAAAAUGCGUAGAUAUAUGGAGGAACACCAGUGGCGAAGGCGGUCGCCUGGUCUGUAACUGACACUGAUGCACGAAAGCGUGGGGAGCAAAUA
rnacentral:rRNA from 1 species